rnacentral:rRNA from 1 species
CAGUCGCCGCGGGAAUACGUAGGUGGCAAGCGUAGUCCGGAAUUAUUGGGCGUAAAGGGCUCGCAGGCGGUUUCUUAAGUCUGAUGUGAAAGCCCCCGGCUCAACCGGGGAGGGUCAUUGGAAACUGGGAAACUUGAGUGCAGAAGAGGAGAGUGGAAUUCCACGUGUAGCGGUGAAAUGCGUAGAGAUGUGGAGGAACACCAGUGGCGAAGGCGACUCUCUGGUCAGUAACUGACGCUGAGGAGCGAAAGCGUGGGGAGCGAACAGGAUUAGAUACCCGUGUAGUCCCUGUCUCUUAUAC